AGCGAACGCUGGCGGCAGGCCUAACACAUGCAAGUCGAACGAACCUUUCGGGGUUAGUGGCGGACGGGUGAGUAACACGUGGGAACGUGCCUUUAGGUUCGGAAUAACUCAGGGAAACUUGUGCUAAUACCGAAUGUGCCCUUCGGGGGAAAGAUUUAUCGCCUUUAGAGCGGCCCGCGUCUGAUUAGCUAGUUGGUUGAGGUAAUGGCUCACCAAGGCGACGAUCAGUAGCUGGUCUGAGAGGAUGAUCAGCCACAUUGGGACUGAGACACGGCCCAAACUCCUACGGGAGGCAGCAGUGGGGAAUCUUGCGCAAUGGGCGAAAGCCUGACGCAGCCAUGCCGCGGGAAUGAUGAAGGUCUUAGGAUUGUAAAAUUCUUUCACCGGGGACGAUAAUGACGGUACCCGGAGAAGAAGCCCCGGCUAACUUCGUG
rnacentral:rRNA from 1 species